rnacentral:rRNA from 1 species
AUUGAACGCUGGCGAAAUGCUUUACACAUGCAAGUCGAACGGUAGAGGGGGCAACCCCUCGAGAGUGGCGAACGGGUGAGUAAUAUAUUGGAACGUGCCCAGUCGCGGGGGAAAACGUAGCGAAAGUUACGCCAAUACCGCAUACGAUCUAAGGAUGAAAGCGGGGGAUCGCAAGACAUCGAGCGAUUGGAGCGGCCGAUAUCAGAUUAGGUAGUUGGUGGGGUAAAGGCUCACCAAGCCAACGAUCUGUAGCUGGUCUGAGAGGACGACCAGCCACACUGGAACUGAGACACGGUCCAGACUCCUACGGGAGGCAGCGGGGGGGAAUUUUGGACAAGGGACGCAAGUCUGAUCCAGCCAUUCCGCGUGCAGGAUGAAGGCCCUCGGGUUGUAAACUGCUUUUGUACGGAACGAAAAGGUGUCUCUUAAUACGGGGGACUCAUGACGGUACCGUAAGAAUAAGCACCGGCUAACCACGUGCCAGCAGCCGCCGUAA